rnacentral:misc_RNA from 1 species
ACGUCCCACUUACACUGGGUGUCUUUAAAACUAUUGUUGCCAUGUUUCAUGGCAGAGGAAAAGUAUGUGUAUGGAACCUCGGUUUCUCUAAUGCCUAGUACCUGCUGAAGCGCUAAGUGGCACUCAACUAUUAAAGCUUUGUCCUCGGAUGAAGCUUGAACCAUGGUCUCAAAUCAGGCAGGAAGACCCGCUGAACUUAA